GCCUACCAUGGUUUUAACGGGUAACGGGGAAUUAGGGUUCGAUUCCGGAGAGGGAGCCUGAGAAACGGCUACCACAUCCAAGGAAGGCAGCAGGCGCGCAAAUUACCCAAUCCCGACACGGGGAGGUAGUGACAAUAAAUAACAAUACAGGGCUCUUACGGGUCUUGUAAUUGGAAUGAGUACAAUUUAAAUCCCUUAACGAGGAACAAUUGGAGGGCAAGUCUGGUGCCAGCAGCCGCGGUAAUUCCAGCUCCAAUAGCGUAUAUUAAAGUUGUUGCAGUUAAAAAGCUCGUAGUUGAAUUUCGGGAUUCUACCGUCGGUCGGGCUACCAAGUCUGUACUGGCGUGUAGAAUUCCUACCUUCUGGGGAACCAUCAUGUUAUUAAUUUAGCGUGGUGGGAAACCAGGACCUUUACCUUGAAAAAAUUAGAGUGUUCAAAGCAGGCUUAUGUCUGAAUACAUUAGCAUGGAAUAAUAGAAUAGGACGGUGGUCCUGUUUUGUUGGUUUCUGAAUCACCGUAAUGAUUAAUAGGGAUAGUUGGGGGCAUUAGUAUUCAAUUGUCAGAGGUGAAAUUCUUGGAUUUAUUGAAGACUAACUUCUGCGAAAGCAUUUGCCAAGGAUGUUUUCAUUAAUCAAGAACGAAAGUUAGGGGAUCGAAGACGAUCAGAUACCGUCGUAGUCUUAACCAUAAACUAUGCCGACUAGGGAUCGGACGAUGUUAAAUUUUAUUGACUCGUUCGGCGCCUUACG
rnacentral:rRNA from 1 species